rnacentral:rRNA from 1 species
UACAGAGGGGGCAAGCGUUGUACGGAAUUACUGGGCGUAAAGGGCGCGUAGGCGGCCUUCUAAGUCAUGCGUGAAAUCCCCGGGCUCAACCCGGGAACUGCGUCUGAUACUGGAAGGCUUGAAUCCGGGAGAGGGAUGUGGAAUUCCAGGUGUAGCGGUGAAAUGCGUAGAUAUGACUCGGAAGGCCAACGGCGAAGGCAGGUUACUGGUACGCAACUGACGCUGAGGCACGAAAGCGUGGGGAGCAAACAGG